rnacentral:rRNA from 1 species
UACGUAGGCACCAAGCGUUGUCCGGAUUUAUUGGGCGUAAAGAGCUCGUAGGUGGUUUGGUAAGUCGGAUGUGAAAUCUCCAGGCUCAACCUGGAGGGGUCAUUCGAUACUGCCAUGACUAGAGGUCGGUAGGGGAGUGUGGAAUUCCCGGUGUAGCAGUGAAAUGCGUAGAGAUCGGGAGGAACAUCAGUUGCGAAGGCGGCUCUCUGGACCAGCACUGACACUGAGGCACGAAAGCGUGGGGAGCAAACAGG